AAUUUGUUGACAAAUCUCCCUUUUGAUGAGCUUAUGAGUCAUUUUUCAGUUUUUGGCUAUGAGGAAAAAAGCUUGUGGAUUCUGGUACAAGUCAUUUUGGUUGACAAAUGUUUUCAUUGCUCUUGAGUAUACAAUUAGGAGAAGGAUUUUGGGGUCAUGGAUUAGGAGCAUGUUCAAUUUUUAAGACACUUACAAAUGCUUUUCUAAAAUGAUUGUACCAUUUUAUACUCUCAUCAGCAAUGUACAAGAGUUCCAGUUGCUCAUUAUUUUCACCAAUAUUUCACAUUAAUAGUCUUUUUAAUUUUAGCCUUUUUGGUGGGUAUAAACUCAUAUCCCAUUGGGAUUUUAAUUUUUAUCCACUGGUGACUUUUAAUAUCAAGAAACUUUUCAUGUGUUCAUCGAUCAUU
rnacentral:lncRNA from 10 species